CACGCCCUGAUUCACGUACAAAAAAAGACAAGGAUCUGCUAUCCCUACACGACUUGACCUGAAAAAAAGGCGCGAUCGUGAUUUCCCAACCUCCCAGGCCCUAGGCCGCCGACGCCGGACGCCGACACGCCGUACUGUAGUUCAGGGGGCCCCAUCGUCACGCUUGGUCAAUUGCUCUCCGACUCUAGGCGCUGCAAACAACACACGGACUGAUGCUAUCACGGAUUUGACCAUCAGAAUCAGGAUUGUGUGUUAGUAUGCCGCCGAGAAACAAGACGGAUGCAUCAGUUAGCAAUAAAAGGAAAAGGAAGAAGGCCGCUGAUAAAUUGGUACAAUCAUAGAGUGUUGCAUAAAAUUUGCCAAAACAUUCUCUCUUGAUGGU